rnacentral:rRNA from 1 species
GACGAACGCUGUCGGCGUGCUUAACACAUGCAAGUCGAACGGAAAGGCCCUGCUUUUGUGGGGUGCUCGAGUGGCGAACGGGUGAGUAACACGUGAGUAACCUGCCCUUGACUUUGGGAUAACUUCAGGAAACUGGGGCUAAUACCGGAUAGGAGCUCCUGCUGCAUGGUGGGGGUUGGAAAGUUUCGGCGGUUGGGGAUGGACUCGCGGCUUAUCAGCUUGUUGGUGGGGUAGUGGCUUACCAAGGCUUUGACGGGUAGCCGGCCUGAGAGGGUGACCGGCCACAGUGGGACUGAGAUACGGCCCAGACUCCUACGGGAGGCAGCAGUGGGGAAUAUUGCACAAUGGGCGGAAGCCUGAUGCAGCAACGCCGCGUGCGGGAUGACGGCCUUCGGGUUGUAAACCGCUUUCGCCUGUGACGAAGCGUGAGUGACGGUAAUGGGUAAAGAAGCACCGGCUAACUACGUG